rnacentral:lncRNA from 1 species
CCUAGGGAAGCAAGAUGGGACCAAAUUAUCAGUGGAGGAAGAGCUCCUCAAGUGUGCCUCCUCUCUCAAGCUCUGAUGGGAGGAGUGAGCUGCAAUAAUAGGAGAACAACGAAAGUGUCACUAGGGAGCGGAUCUCGAACUUCGAAAGCGAGAUGGCCAACUAGGAUGAAAGAAAUCACCUAGGGGUUCGACUCCAUACAAUUUUAUUGCCGCUCCAUCACUUAUUGUAGUUGCUGCACACUAUCACUCAGCACCUAGAUUUGGUGACCCAGGGCUUUUGAGCGAUGAUGGAUCUAUUAUGGUCAGAGGUUGCACAGUAAUCGACCCCAGAUAG